GGUGGUNCACGCCGUAAACGAUGAGUGCUAGGUGUUAGACCCUUUCCGGGGUUUAGUGCCGUAGCUAACGCAUUAAGCACUCCGCCUGGGGAGCACGACCGCAAGGUUGAAACUCAAAGGAAUUGACGGGGGCCCGCACAAGCGGUGGAGCAUGUGGUUUAAUUCGAAGCAACGCGAAGAACCUUACCAGGUCUUGACAUCCCUCUGACCGCUCUAGAGAUAGAGCUUUCCUUCGGGACAGAGGUGACAGGUGGUGCAUGGUUGUCGUCAGCUCGUGUCGUGAGAUGUUGGGUUANNNNNNNNNACGAGCGCAACCCCUAUUGUUAGUUGCCAUCAUUCAGUUGGGCACUCUAGCGAGACUGCCGGUAAUAAACCGGAGGAAGGUGGGGAUGACGUCAAAUCAUCAUGCCCCUUAUGACCUGGGCUACACACGUGCUACAAUGGCUGGUACAACGAGUCGCAAGCCGGUGACGGCAAGCUAAUCUCUUAAAGCCAGUCUCAGUUCGGAUUGUAGGCUGCAACU
rnacentral:rRNA from 1 species